rnacentral:rRNA from 1 species
AUUGAACGCUGGCGGCAUGCCUUACACAUGCAAGUCGAACGGCAGCACGGGAGCAAUCCUGGUGGCGAGUGGCGAACGGGUGAGUAAUAUAUCGGAACGUGCCCAGUCGUGGGGGAUAACGUAGCGAAAGCUACGCUAAUACCGCAUACGAUCUAUGGAUGAAAGCGGGGGAUCGCAAGACCUCGCGCGAUUGGAGCGGCCGAUAUCAGAUUAGGUAGUUGGUGAGGUAAAGGCUCACCAAGCCGACGAUCUGUAGCUGGUCUGAGAGGACGACCAGCCACACUGGGACUGAGACACGGCCCAGACUCCUACGGGAGGCAGCAGUGGGGGAAUUUUUGGGACAAUGGGCGCAAGCCUGAUCCAGCAAUGCCGCGUGCAGGAUGAAGGCCUUCGGUUGUAACUGCUUUUGUACGGUAACGAGACGGCGAGCGUCUAAUACAGUUGCUAAUGACGGUACCGUAAGAA